GGUAUCUUCUUGGUAGCAUGUAAACAUCCCACACACAAAUUAGAUUGCCGAACUUAAGCUCACGAACUGACACGUAUCCAUGCACUGCAAUUUAUAAAGAAGUGGCCUUACAUUAGAUCCUGCACUAGGGUGGCUUUCUUGAGGGGCUUUUUUCAGAUAACUAAAUUGGCAAAAUUUGCUGGACCCAUUUGCAUGUAAAGACGUGAGACAGAAUGGGCCCUUCUCAGGUUUACUAUAACUCACCUGUUCCUUGUUUGAUGUAUUUUUUCAACUACCAUCGUGUCUCUCAGUCUGUCUCCCUCUCUCUCUCUCUCACAUCAUUCCCUUUCCCUUUAUAAGCUUCCCUCUUGCUGCCAUUUACACUUCCCCGGCUAGUUUCUGAAGCUUUUGUGAGAGGCUUGAGUGAAAGAAGAGUAUCGGGUCGAGGGGGUUGAUUAGCGAUCGGUGAUCAUGUCCACAAGAAGAUCAAGAACCUCUCAGUUAACAGAAGAUGAGAUCAAUAAUCUCAUCUCCAAGUUACAGGCUCUGCUUCCUCAGCUUGAGCAAAGGAGAAACAAUGGAAUGGUAGCCCCAUCAAAGAUUUUGAAGGAAACAUGCAGUUACAUUAGGAAGCUACACAGAGAGAUGGAUGAGCUGAGCGAAAGACUGACUACAUUGUUGGAUAAUAUGGAGAUAUCUAGUGCUGAUGCACAGCUUCUUAGAACUCUUCUUCUACAAUAAAGCCUUUUUGUCUUUGCUUC